UACAGGGGGUGCAAACGUUGCUCGGAAUUAUUGGGCGUAAAGGGCGCGUAGGCGGCCUGGCAAGUGGAAGGUGAAAUCCCUCGGCUUAACCGAGGAACUGCCCUCCAAACUGCUUGGCUUGAGUCCGGGAGAGGUGAGUGGAAUUCCCAGUGUAGCGGUGAAAUGCGUAGAUAUUGGGAGGAACACCAGUGGCGAAGGCGGCUCACUGGACCGGAACUGACGCUGAGGCGCGAAAGCGUGGGGAGCAAACGGG
rnacentral:rRNA from 1 species